rnacentral:rRNA from 1 species
GGGGAAUCUUCCGCAAUGGGCGAAAGCCUGACGGAGCAACGCCGCGUGAACGAAGAAGGCCUUCGGGUCGUAAAGUUCUGUCCUCAGGGAAGAACCCUCAUGGUAGGGAAUGACCAUGAGCUGACGGUACCUGGGAAGGAAGCCCUGGCUAACUACGUGCCAGCAGCCGCGGUAAUACGUAGGGGGCGAGCGUUGUCCGGAAUUACUGGGCGUAAAGGGUGCGUAGGCGGCCCUUUAAGUCGGAUGUGAAAGCCCGCGGCUUAACCGCGGAAUGGCAUUCGAAACUGGGGGGCUUGAGUGUCGGAGAGGGUAGUGGAAUUCCCAGUGUAGCGGUGAAAUGCGUAGAUAUUGGGAGGAACACCAGUGGCGAAGGCGGAGUACUAGACCAUAGUUGACGCUGAGGCACGAAAGCGUGGGGAUCAAACA